rnacentral:rRNA from 2 species
UGGUGGGUAGUUUGACUGGGGCGGUCUCCUCCUAAAGAGUAACGGAGGAGCACGAAGGUUGGCUAAUCCUGGUCGGACAUCAGGAGGUUAGUGCAAUGGCAUAAGCCAGCUUGACUGCGAGCGUGACGGCGCGAGCAGGUGCGAAAGCAGGUCAUAGUGAUCCGGUGGUUCUGAAUGGAAGGGCCAUCGCUCAACGGAUAAAAGGUACUCCGGGGAUAACAGGCUGAUACCGCCCAAGAGUUCAUAUCGACGGCGGUGUUUGGCACCUCGAUGUCGGCUCAUCACAUCCUGGGGCUGAAGUAGGUCCCAAGGGUAUGGCUGUUCGCCAUUUAAAGUGGUACGCGAGCUGGGUUUAGAACGUCGUG